GUUUGAAUAGGAGCUUAGUUUUAAGGAUAAACACAUCCAUCACAAAGCUGCUCGGCAUACGCCAGUGCUGGCACUCACCCCCUCCCUGAAACCCCUUUUGAGGACUCUCAGUCCAGAGCCCGCAUCUCCACUCCAGCCUUUUCACUCUCCAACCUGCCUUUUCAGCAUUCCCCAAGCCUAAUCCCACAGUUUACUGGGAACGCUGAGAGACGCAGGAAAACAAGGGGCGCUUUAACCCCCUUUCAAAGCCUUAAUUCCCUCCCAGUUUGGUGUAUUUAACUUGGGCACAGUUCUGAAACAAAAGGUAUAGAGACUCCAAGUUGUUGGGCAGGGGGAGGGAAGAAAGUUGGUUUGAUUUUGAGAGCCCUGGAAGAUCAUUAAAAUUUCAUAACAGGCAGAAAGAAAAAAAAAAAAAAAAGUAAAAAAAAAAAAAAAAAGUUGUUUGCUUAUAAGGUCUCUAGUGUUUAAAGAGCUAGAGACAAAACUGCCGAGCAGUAUAUUCCAGUUUAUCCUGUGGAAUAGGAAGGAAUGGCCCCAGACGUAAUUACAAGCUGCAGCUUCACAAGAGAAACACAUGAAAUGCUGAAAAAAAAGCAAAGAUGGCGUAUUGACUGCGACGUGAGAGCAAAGACGUUUCUUCUAUUCAUUCAACUUCAUGAAGAGGGUUUUCCAGCUCCAAUCAAGGCCUGGGACAGGUUAGGUUCAUGAAGUGAAGAGCCACCCUGAUGUUCUCUGCUGGUCCUCGGUUGCAGUAUGGCCCUGCUGGGACCAGGGCUGAGCAUUAAAAGGUUUUGCAUGUGUUGGGCUACAGCAAGAGCCAGAAGAGGCAGUGGUGUAACCAGUUCCCCAGCUCCCCUCCCUCCAUCAGAGAGAACUUGGCUGAGCAAAGUGAACAUGGCCCUCACUUUCCUUGUGGAGAUACAGCUCUUGGAUGCAUUCAAAAUGACCUACUUUUCACUGCUGGCCAGGAUUUUGCUGCAUUGUUGUUAUUGUUGGACUUUUCCGCUGCUUUUGGUACUGUUGCACAUGAGGUUUUUGUCCUGUGUCAGAGUGCUGGUUUUGUGCCUGAGUACAGGUCUUCUCUGACUUCUCACAUGCUGAUGGUGACAAUAAAGCAUUACACCUUGAGGUACCUAUAUUCUGAAGCUCUCCAAAGUGUUUUAAAACUGUUUUCUUCUCCCAUUGCUGUACAUUAGUAAUUAAUGCAGAGCUCCUAAAACCUGCUCAUACAUCUGCUUGCUCUGAACACAGAAUGGGCAGAUGUUUGACAUUCAUCAUCACCAGCCUAAAGAAGGAGUUAAAGAUGAUGGUACACAACAAAAUCCACCAAGAAACUUGGCCCAGGAAUGUGGAUUAAUGACUGAAUAAUAAAGAAUGACCACCCCAAGAAUGUGUCUUCCUCAUCCCACCCUUUUCCUUAAAUUGGACAGAGUACUACUCCAACCUGGUUCCUGUUUCCAGAGCCAUUGGAAGGACAGAGCAAGCAUCUCCUUGGUCAGACCAGCUCGGGUCAGCUUCAACAACCCUGCCAAAACACACCAUUGUCUUGUAGUUUUAAAAACUAGUUUUAAAAAGCUUUGGAAAGGAUAAGAUUCCUGGUUCACUCACACCUGCUCUUGCCCUUCAGGUCCAUUUGCCUGAGGCUUGUGCAAAUGAUUUCUCUGCUCAAGCCAAAAGGGGUUUUGAUGUAUGCUUGUAAUAGGUUUGGGUCUUGAUUGUAUGGGUUUCCAUCUUGCUGAACAUGACCACAAACAUUUCUAAAAUACGUCCUGGGGUAAUUCAGAAAGAUAGCAAUCAGCAGAGAGCAUAGGCUCGUUUAAGGUGUUACAGAUGACUCUACAACCUGUUAAGUCAGAAGAAGCCUCAGGUAACAAGUGUAUUGAAGAAAAUGUAAAAUGUAUCCCAGAAUGGAUAGACAGACGAAUAUAUUUAAUGCUAUUCUUUUUCUAUUGGACAUGUCAGUUCCGAUUUACUAGGAGACUAGUUCAUUAUUUAUCUCCUGUAAAAUACAAACAUGAAGGAAAGGCAAAGGUCUGUAGACGUCUCUUUGUUAGUCCAGCAAUGCUGAUGGCUAUUUAGUCAUGUUAGAAACUAAAAUAAUAUUUUCUUCAAAUGCUGCGUUUGCCAAAUACAAAGUGAGCUGACAUCUGCUUGGCUACAGCUGGGGUCACAUAUGAAGCAGUGCCUAAACUGAACAAAUAUUUCCAAUUUUUAAAAAAGAAAGAAAAAGAAGAGAAAAGAAAAUCAUUAACCUUUUGUCAUUAGCAUUAGCUGUUCUUUGAAUUGCUCAGCAGUUUGAAUCAGUGCACCUGCCAAAAUAAGCACCAAGUGUUGUUACCCUCUUAGGGACAGCCCUGUUCCAUAAAUCACAGGAUUUCAAUGACAGCUAAAUGUGUUUUAUAUCAUAUAGAGAGCCUGUGUUUAUGAAUGUGAGAUAAAAGGGGUUUAACCAGUGCAAACACUAAGACUACUGUAUGCAGUCUGGCUCUCCCUUAUUUUUUCCCCUUUUUCUUAAACGUGAUUUCUAUUGCCCAUGCGCAUGUCUAUCUCCAAAUUUCCUGCCAGUUUUGUCUGUAGUUGAAUUUCCUUCCAAUUCUUUCUGUCCUGAAGUGCAGCACUGACUGCAUAAUCCCUGUAAGUGUCCAGCUGGAAGAAAAGUGGACUUGGAGACAUGAAUGCUUUGCAUGAAAUGAAUUAUUUGCAUGGACUUUAGAUCUUGAACUGAAGACUAAAGAUAUGGCAUUAUUCACCUGUGAACAUGUGUGUUCUCCAGACAUAAUGCCUGUAAUAUUCUUACCUUGCAAAAGUCCUGGCAUUACUCCUGCCAGUCACAAACAUCCCAAAAUGAGAUUCUUCAAUAUGAGAACAGCCAAAAUGAGAUCACUUCUGUGUAAAGGCAAUUAGGGGGACUUAUCAAGAAACCUACUUUUUUUUUUUCAAACCCAUACUAGGUUUCCCAACUGCACAAAAAAAAAAAAAAAAAAUCACAUCCCAGGGGUGCUGAAAUGUAGAUUAUUAAUGUUCUGAAAUUGUUCAAAGACCCUGAGAUGUCGCCUGUCUGUUUUUUAACGUCUUUGUUCCAAAGUCUCAUAUAAACAGAAAAAGUUACCUGAGACUAGUUUGCUCAUUCCUUCUGUGCUAGCAAAUGCACCAGCAUAUCCCUGAAAACAACUACUGCUUGAACAAGGACCAGCAUUAUUGUAAAAAUGAAAUUAUUAAUAAAAGUUUAAAAGUUGAAAUGAUUUUGUUUUUCAAACUGCCCAGUUUUUUUCUAACCAGUUAAAUUUUCAUUUUUUGCUAGGAACUUUCACUCUGUGAAAUUAAAGUUAAAGCCAUCCCCAGCCACUGGAUAGAGCAUCUACUGAGUCAUUAUUUAUAAAAAGUCUCCAUGUAAAUAGAUGAGAACACUGUAAUUUUCACUCGUAGUCCAGUGUUAUUUUCAAAGGCCUGCAAUUUAUUCUAAAAUUUAAAUCUCUUGGAAAAGCAUCAUGAGAGAACACACAUAGAAAUCACUUUCUGUCUAAGGCAGGAAACAAUCUUCAUGGAUGUCUCCCUGAAUUCAUUCCAGAGCAAUAUAUGGAGCUGAAAUGAUUGAAUGAUUCAUUUUCAUUGCAGUAAAGAUAAAAGAAUUUAAAUAAACAUCAGACAGGAGGCAGUUAACGUUAAAAUA